AGAGUUUGAUCCUGGCUCAGGAUGAACGCUGGCGGCGUGCCUAAUACAUGCAAGUCGAGCGAACGGACGAGAAGCUUGCUUCUCUGAUGUUAGCGGCGGACGGGUGAGUAACACGUGGAUAACCUACCUAUAAGACUGGGAUAACUUCGGGAAACCGGAGCUAAUACCGGAUAAUAUUUUGAACCGCAUGGUUCAAAAGUGAAAGACGGUCUUGCUGUCACUUAUAGAUGGAUCCGCGCUGCAUUAGCUAGUUGGUAAGGUAACGGCUUACCAAGGCAACGAUGCAUAGCCGACCUGAGAGGGUGAUCGGCCACACUGGAACUGAGACACGGUCCAGACUCCUACGGGAGGCAGCAGUAGGGAAUCUUCCGCAAUGGGCGAAAGCCUGACGGAGCAACGCCGCGUGAGUGAUGAAGGUCUUCGGAUCGUAAAACUCUGUUAUUAGGGAAGAACAUAUGUGUAAGUAACUGUGCACAUCUUGACGGUACCUAAUCAGAAAGCCACGGCUAACUACGUGCCAGCAGCCGCGGUAAUACGUAGGUGGCAAGCGUUAUCCGGAAUUAUUGGGCGUAAAGCGCGCGUAGGCGGUUUUUUAAGUCUGAUGUGAAAGCCCACGGCUCAACCGUGGAGGGUCAUUGGAAACUGGAAAACUUGAGUGCAGAAGAGGAAAGUGGAAUUCCAUGUGUAGCGGUGAAAUGCGCAGAGAUAUGGAGGAACACCAGUGGCGAAGGCGACUUUCUGGUCUGUAACUGACGCUGAUGUGCGAAAGCGUGGGGAUCAAACAGGAUUAGAUACCCUGGUAGUCCACGCCGUAAACGAUGAGUGCUAAGUGUUAGGGGGUUUCCGCCCCUUAGUGCUGCAGCUAACGCAUUAAGCACUCCGCCUGGGGAGUACGACCGCAAGGUUGAAACUCAAAGGAAUUGACGGGGACCCGCACAAGCGGUGGAGCAUGUGGUUUAAUUCGAAGCAACGCGAAGAACCUUACCAAAUCUUGACAUCCUUUGACAACUCUAGAGAUAGAGCCUUCCCCUUCGGGGGACAAAGUGACAGGUGGUGCAUGGUUGUCGUCAGCUCGUGUCGUGAGAUGUUGGGUUAAGUCCCGCAACGAGCGCAACCCUUAAGCUUAGUUGCCAUCAUUAAGUUGGGCACUCUAAGUUGACUGCCGGUGACAAACCGGAGGAAGGUGGGGAUGACGUCAAAUCAUCAUGCCCCUUAUGAUUUGGGCUACACACGUGCUACAAUGGACAAUACAAAGGGCAGCGAAACCGCGAGGUCAAGCAAAUCCCAUAAAGUUGUUCUCAGUUCGGAUUGCAGUCUGCAACUCGACUACAUGAAGCUGGAAUCGCUAGUAAUCGUAGAUCAGCAUGCUACGGUGAAUACGUUCCCGGGUCUUGUACACACCGCCCGUCACACCACGAGAGUUUGUAACACCCGAAGCCGGUGGAGUAACCUUUUAGGAGCUAGCCGUCGAAGGUGGGACAAAUGAUUGGGGUGAAGUCGUAACAAGGUAGCCGUAUCGGAAGGUGCGGCUGGAUCACCU
rnacentral:rRNA from 1 species